rnacentral:rRNA from 1 species
CAGUCGCCGCGGGAAUACGUAGGUCCCGAGCGUUGUCCGGAUUUAUUGGGCGUAAAGCGAGCGCAGGCGGUUAGAUAAGUCUGAAGUUAAAGGCUGUGGCUUAACCAUAGUACGCUUUGGAAACUGUUUAACUUGAGUGCAGAAGGGGAGAGUGGAAUUCCAUGUGUAGCGGUGAAAUGCGUAGAUAUAUGGAGGAACACCGGUGGCGAAAGCGGCUCUCUGGCUUGUAACUGACGCUGAGGAGCGAAAGCGUGGGGAGCGAACAGGAUUAGAUACCCCAGUAGUCCCUGUCUCUUAUACA